AGUGGACGCUGGCGGUAGGCCUAACGCAUGCAAGUCGAACGGCAGCACAGUAAGAGCUUGCUCUUACGGGUGGCGAGUGGCGGACGGGUGAGGAAUACAUCGGAAUCUACUUUUUCGUGGGGGAUAACGUAGGGAAACUUACGCUAAUACCGCAUACGACCUACGGGUGAAAGCAGGGGAUCUUCGGACCUUGCGCGAUUGAAUGAGCCGAUGUCGGAUUAGCUAGUUGGCGGGGUAAAGGCCCACCAAGGCGACGAUCCGUAGCUGGUCUGAGAGGAUGAUCAGCCACACUGGAACUGAGACACGGUCCAGACUCCUACGGGAGGCAGCAGUGGGGAAUAUUGGGCAAUGGGCGCAAGCCUGAUCCAGCCAUACCGCGUGGGUGAAGAAGGCCUUCGGGUUGUAAAGCCCUUUUGUUGGGAAAGAAAAGCAGCAGGUUAAUACCCCGCUGUUCUGACGGUACCCAAAGAAUAAGCACCGGCUAACUUCGUG
rnacentral:rRNA from 1 species